GACGAACGCUGGCGGCGCGCUUAACACAUGCAAGUCGAACGGUGAACGGGGCUUCGGCCCCGGGAUCAGUGGCGAACGGGUGCGUAACACGUGGGCAACCUGCCCCAGACCCUGGGAUAACCCCGGGAAACCGGAGCUAAUACCGGAUACUCCGACCGAACCGCAUGGCUCGGCCGGGAAAGGUCCGCCGGUCUGGGAUGGGCCCGCGGCCUAUCAGCUUGUUGGUGGGGUCACGGCCCACCAAGGCGACGACGGGUAGCUGGUCUGAGAGGACGACCAGCCACACUGGGACUGAGAUACGGCCCAGACUCCUACGGGAGGCAGUAGUGGGGAAUCUUGCACAAUGGGCGAAAGCCUGAUGCAGCGACGCCGCGUGAGGGAUGAAGGCCCUCGGGUUGUAAACCUCUUUCGGCAGGGACGAAGCGAUCGUGACGGUACCUGCAGAAGAAGCCUCGGCUAACUACGUGCCAGCAGCCGCGGUAAAAC
rnacentral:rRNA from 1 species